rnacentral:rRNA from 1 species
AUGGUUAAGUUAGAAAGGGCGCACGGUGAAUGCCUUGGCACUAGGAGCCGAUGAAGGACGGGACUAACACCGAUAUGCUUCGGGGAGCUGUAAGUGAGCUUUGAUCCGGAGAUUUCCGAAUGGGGAAACCCACUGUUCGUAAUGGAACAGUAUCUUUAUCUGAAUACAUAGGAUAUUGAAGGCAGACCCGGGGAACUGAAACAUCUAAGUACCCGGAGGAAGAGAAAGCAAAUGCGAUUUCCUGAGUAGCGGCGAGCGAAACGGAAUUAGCCCAAACCAAGAGGCUUGCCUCUUGGGGUUGUAGGACACUCUAUACGGAGUUACAAAGGAACGAAGUAAAUGAAGCGACCUGGAAAGGUCCGUCGAAGAAGGUAACAACCCUGUAGUUGAAACUUCGUUCUCUCUUGAGUGGAUCCUGAGUACGGCGGAACACGUGAAAUUCCGUCGGAAGCUGGGAGGACCAUCUCCCAAGGCUAAAUACUACCUAGUGACCGAUAGUGAACCAGUACCGUGAGGGAAAGGUGAAAAGCACCCCGGAAGGGGAGUGAAAGAGAUCCUGAAACCGUGUGCCUACAAGUAGUCAGAGCCCGUUAACGGGUGAUGGCGUGCCUUUUGUAGAAUGAACCGGCGAGUUACGAUCCCAUGCAAGGUUAAGCUGAUAAGGCGGAGCCGUAGCGAAAGCGAGUCUGAAUAGGGCGUUUAGUAUGUGGUUGUAGACCCGAAACCAGGUGAUCUACCCAUGUCCAGGGUGAAGUUCAGGUAACACUGAAUGGAGGCCCGAACCCACGCACGUUGAAAAGUGCGGGGAUGAGGUGUGGGUAGCGGAGAAAUUCCAAUCGAACCUGGAGAUAGCUGGUUCUCUCCGAAAUAGCUUUAGGGCUAGCCUCAUGUUGUGAGAGUCUUGGAGGUAGAGCACUGAUUGGACUAGGGGCCCCCAACGGGUUACCGAAUUCAGUCAAACUCCGAAUGCCAAAGACUUAUCCAUGGGAGUCAGACUGCGAGUGAUAAGAUCCGUAGUCAAAAGGGAAACAGCCCAGACCACCAGCUAAGGUCCCCAAGUAUACGUUAAGUGGAAAAGGAUGUGGAGUUGCUUAGACAACCAGGAUGUUGGCUUAGAAGCAGCCACCAUUUAAAGAGUGCGUAAUAGCUCACUGGUCGAGUGACUCUGCGCCGAAAAUGUACCGGGGCUAAACGUAUCACCGAAGCUGUGGAUUGACAUCUUAGAUGUCAGUGGUAGGAGAGCGUUCUAAGUGCUGUGAAGUCAGACCGUAAGGACUGGUGGAGCGCUUAGAAGUGAGAAUGCCGGUAUGAGUAGCGAAAGACAAGUGAGAAUCUUGUCCACCGAAUGCCUAAGGUUUCCUGAGGAAGGCUCGUCCGCUCAGGGUUAGUCGGGACCUAAGCCGAGGCUGAAAAGCGUAGGCGAUGGCCAACAGGUUGAUAUUCCUGUACCACCUCCCCGCCGUUUGAGUAAUGGGGGGACGCAGUAGGAUAGGGUAAGCGCGCUGCUGGAUAUGCGCGUUCAAGCAGUUAGGCUGAUGAGUAGGCAAAUCCGCUCAUCAUAAAGGCUGAGCUGUGAUGACGAGGGAAUUAUAGUACCGAAGUUCCUGAUUCCACACUGCCAAGAAAAGCCUCUAGCGAGGCGGGAGGUGCCCGUACCGCAAACCGACACAGGUAGGCGAGGAGAGAAUCCUAAGGUGAUCGAGAGAACUCUCGUUAAGGAACUCGGCAAAAUGACCCCGUAACUUCGGGAGAAGGGGUGCUCUGGUAGGGUGUAUAGCCCGAGAGAGCCGCAGUGAAUAGGCCCAGGCGACUGUUUAGCAAAAACACAGGUCUCUGCGAAGCCGCAAGGCGAAGUAUAGGGGCUGACGCCUGCCCGGUGCUGGAAGGUUAAGAGGAGGGGUUAUCCUUUGGGAGAAGCUCUGAAUCGAAGCCCCAGUAAACGGCGGCCGUAACUAUAACGGUCCUAAGGUAGCGAAAUUCCUUGUCGGGUAAGUUCCGACCCGCACGAAAGGCGUAACGAUCUGGGCACUGUCUCAACGAGAGACUCGGUGAAAUUAUAGUACCUGUGAAGAUGCAGGUUACCCGCGACAGGACGGAAAGACCCCGUGGAGCUUUACUGUAGCCUGAUAUUGAAUUUUGGUACAGCUUGUACAGGAUAGGUAGGAGCCUGAGAAGCCGGAGCGCUAGCUUCGGUGGAGGCGUCGGUGGGAUACUACCCUGGCUGUAUUGAAAUUCUAACCCGCGGCCCUGAUCGGGCCGGGAGACAGUGUCAGGUGGGCAGUUUGACUGGGGCGGUCGCCUCCUAAAAUGUAACGGAGGCGCCCAAAGGUUCCCUCAGAAUGGUUGGAAAUCAUUCGUAGAGUGUAAAGGCACAAGGGAGCUUGACUGCGAGACCUACAAGUCGAGCAGGGACGAAAGUCGGGCUUAGUGAUCCGGUGGUUCCGCAUGGAAGGGCCAUCGCUCAACGGAUAAAAGCUACCCCGGGGAUAACAGGCUUAUCUCCCCCAAGAGUCCACAUCGACGGGGAGGUUUGGCACCUCGAUGUCGGCUCAUCGCAUCCUGGGGCUGUAGUCGGUCCCAAGGGUUGGGCUGUUCGCCCAUUAAAGCGGUACGCGAGCUGGGUUCAGAACGUCGUGAGACAGUUCGGUCCCUAUCCGUCGUGGGCGUAGGAAAUUUGAGAGGAGCUGUCCUUAGUACGAGAGGACCGGGAUGGACACACCGCUGGUGUACCAGUUGUCUUGCCAAAGGCAUCGCUGGGUAGCUAUGUGUGGACGGGAUAAGUGCUGAAAGCAUCUAAGCAUGAAGCCCCCCUCAAGAUGAGAUUUCCCAUAGCGCAAGCUAGUAAGAUCCCUGAAAGAUGAUCAGGUUGAUAGGUCAGAGGUGGAAGCGUGGCGACAUGUGUAGCUGACUGAUACUAAUCGAUCGAGGACUUAACCAAA